UCUUUUGCAAUCGUAUGACUUGUCGAGAUAGACGGUAUGGAUUUACGGUGUGGCGUGUUCGUGAAAGGAUAUAAUGGUAAUUAUGUGAGAGGUGCACGUGUGUGUGUGGCGCGAGAAGCGGGGGAUUCCUCCCCCACCUUUAUCUUUUUCCCAGGGAGAAUAAUUCUCCCAUUUCUCUCCCUCACUCUUCGGCUCACAGUCUCUCUCUCCUCUCCUCCGAAAUUUUUUCUCCUCUCUUCUCUCUUCGAUUUCAUCCAUCUAGGGUGAGAUUCCGGACAAGGCCCGAGAAUUAAAGUUGCUAUACGGCGUAUGGGCUUUCCAAAUAUUCAAGAAAAAUCAUGAUCGGACCGCGUGGGAGCUUGGUUGACUUGGUCAAAGGUUCGGGUUUUGCUCAAAACCCAUGAGGUACAAAAAUAAGGAAGUUGGCAUGGAGUGCAUAUCGUGCUUAUUGAUCAUGUCUUUCAAAGGUAUAAAAGAGGCGAUUAUUUGCAUUUGAUUUGAAAGGAGUAUUUUUGGAAAGACAUUUGUUAGAACUGUAAUAUUAUUUUCUUCGAACAUUGGUAUUUCGAUAACUUGGGGCCUCGAGCCAGGGAUGUACUCAUUGAAUUUUGUUUGAGAAUAGUGAACAGAAAGGUCUUUUGGGGUAUUAUUUGUAUUACAAUGAGGACUUUAUUUAUUAAAAGUGUUUAUUAUUUAUGUCGAAAAUCGAGGGCGUGACAACUUGGUAUCAGAGCAUAUGUUUAGAAUACCUAGAGACCGUGGGGAGACUUUUAGUCUCAUGGGUUCAAAAUUCGUUGCAUAUUUUUUUUUCAAAACACAAGUAUGCUUGCAUGAAUGAGUCGGUACAUUAUUGAGGUGUCGCAUUUUGUAUUAUGGUAGAGUGACAUUGAGUUGUUGACCUGCAUUGGGAAGUUGGAGGCUUGGACCUCAUUGUAGUGAUGGUGGCUAUAUUGACGUGUGAAGCAAAAUAUAAGAUAGCAUGUGAUAAAAGGGAUGGAAUGUUGAUAUGACUUAUGAGAUGAGUGUUAAAUGUGUUUUUAAUUGAAUUGCUUGGAUUAUGUGUUAAGUUUCAAAUGUGUUAAGUUAAGCCUGUGUGAGAUAAACUGUAUAGGGUAUAAGUAUAAGGUGAACAAUAUAUGCAUUGAGAAUUGAGUUAGUGCGUGCCUUGAAUGUGUUUGGAAAGGUAAAGUCGUGUUGUGAUGAUAACUGUGGUUGGUUACUGUAGUGGUAGUUAUUGAGACAGUUAAUAUAAGCAUAGGUAGGGCAAGUCGAACCUACAUACGAGAUAUAAGUAUCUAAAGUUGAGAUAAGAAAAUGAGGGUUAUAGGUAGGGUGUCUAGAUACAGUAUGUGUCUCCUGGACACCCAGGCGACUACCGAUGAGAUCCAGUUGGAAGAGGCGCUUGAUCACCGCUCCUUCUAGAUGGAAGUCUCGGAAAGUCAAUUGGACACUAGGAUUGUGUAUAGGUGUUAGAUCUCUAGGCUUGAGAUAGAUGACUCUACGUAGGAAUUUCGUAGAAAAUGGAAGUGUUAUGGUGUCGUAGUCUUCAUUGUUGAGGUGAUAGAUUUGAGAGGGACUAAUGUUUAAAUAGUGGUAGUGAUAGCAGUGAUGGUGAUGAAAGUAGUGUGGUUGAUAUUAUUGAGGUUGAGUACAAUUGUGGUAAAUAUCUUUGAGGAAAAUUGAUGUCGUUAUGACUACUUAGUUGAAAGAAGAAAUUUGUAAGCUGUGAAACUUGUGGUGAGCGGAACUGUUCAAAGAUAUUGGUGUGAGAGAAUUGAUUCUUAGGUGAGAAGUAGUUGGAAUCUUAGAAUGUGAUGAGAAGUAUAGACAUGCUGUUUGCAACCCUCGAGUCUUGUUGGUAUUUAGGAAGGAGUUUGUAAAUUUGUUUGUGCUUGUAUUGGUGUUUAAAUUUUGGUAUCGAGAUAAUCAAUAGUUUUGGAAGUUCGUUAGUGCAACUAUUGCACACAUUGUGUAGGUAUUUGGGUGAUGAAAUGCCAUGUGAUUGUAAAGUUGAUAGAGAAAUGAUUAAUAUUGAUGUUGUGUAUUUGUUAUGUGAUAUUUGAGAUUGUGAAAAUGGGAAACAUGUGACUUGAGUAGACUAAUUGACGAGAGUAUUUGAGAUUGAUGGGUGAACAGAACAUGUGAAAGGUAUGAUGAAGUUGAAAAGAACGAGAUUACCAUUGGGCUUUCUAGAGCCAUGAAAUGUGAAGUAUUGGAUACUUUGUGAGUCCGUGGAUACUUGGUGAGUCCGUUGGAUACUUUGUGAGUCCGUGGAUACUUGGUGAAUCCGUUGGAUACUUUGUGAGUCCGUGGAUACUUGGUGAAUCCGUUGGAUACUUUGU